AAGGUUCAACAACGGAUCUCUUGGCUCUCGCAUCGAUGAAGAACGCAGCGAAAUGCGAUAAGUAAUGUGAAUUGCAGAAUUCAGUGAAUCAUCGAAUCUUUGAACGCACCUUGCGCUCCUUGGUAUUCCUUGGAGCAUGCCUGUUUGAGUAUCAU
rnacentral:rRNA from 1 species